rnacentral:rRNA from 1 species
UCGGGAAUCUUGCACAAUGGGCGAAAGCCUGAUGCAGCAACGCCGUGUGAGCGAGGAAGGCCUUCGGGUCGUAAAGCUCUGUUGUUGGGGACGAAGGGCGAAGGGUUAAUAGCCCCUAGCCUGACGGUACCCUUCGAGGAAGCCCCGGCUAACUACGUGCCAGCAGCCGCGGUAAUACGUAGGGGGCGAGCGUUGUCCGAAAUUACUGGGUGUAAAGGGUGUGCAGGCGGAGCGGAAAGUCAGAGGUGAAAGCCCGCAGCUCAACUGCGGAAUGGCCUUUGAUACUACCGUUCUUGAGUCCUGGAGAAGCUGCCGGAAUUCGUGGUGUAGCGGUGAAAUGCGUAGAUAUCACGAGGAACACCAGAAGCGUAAGCGGGCAGCUGGACAGUGACUGACGCUCAGGCACGAAAGCGUGGGGAGCAAACAGGAUUAGAUACCCGGGUAGUCC